GACAAAAUAUCUUGGAGCCUUAAUUGAUUCAAUUUAAUGUCGUUUUGUUGAUAUGAAUGUCACUAUUUUAAUUUGUAUUUAUGUGGAUUUUGGGUGUUUGGGGCACCACCAUUUUUCCUUGAUAUAUAUAUUCUUUAAUUCUUAAAAGUUCUAUCAUUGUAUCACUUCAUCAGUACAUUCAGCAUUAUAACCACCUACCCUGUUCUCCCCAUUUGACCACUGAAAGAACCUGCACAGCAGCAGAAGACCAGCAGGAGCAGAGCGAGAGCACCAGGAGACAAUUGUUGGUGCACCAGGAGCAAGGCCCUGCAAUGCAGCUGAUGAGCCCAUUUACCCAGAUGAUUCAGCCUGCCCAGCAGCUGAACAGCAUGGCCGCAGGUGUAAAGCAGACACACCAGGACUUGGAGGAUGGCCGAUCUAUCUAUGUUCCAGCACUUACUGUUUUUGGAGAGGGAAGUAUUCCCCUCCUGUGUGAAAGCCAAGGGGGAAUGCCUCCGUGAAGAAGGUGCCUUCCAUCAGCAGAUGUGACAAGUCCCAAGAAGUUGGUAUCCUAUCAGUUAAAUAAUGGCACUGGGGCAUGGAUGUUGUGGCCAAGAUUCAUCAGUAUACUUUUGUAUCCAACACAAUGGAACCGGGAUGAUCCUGCUGCUGCUACCCUCUAUGCCAUCAAAAAUCUUUCCCAACCCUCACCAUCUGUAGCAUUUUUAGCUGUACAAGGGUCUACAGGAGAAGAGGUCACCAACUGUGACAUGAGUGCCAGGAUCCCAUAGAAGUAUCCUGGCCCAUGAGCUGGUGAUUUUAAAGAGGAAAGUCUCAUGCAUCAUCUACACUUGACACCUCCAUUUUAGGCUAGCUUCAGAAAGCUGUUUGAAAGGCAAAGUUUCUCUUUCCUUACCAUUGACCAUUGUCUGGAUACAGCAGAACGAAAUGAGUGCCACAUAGCAAGAGUUACAAAACUCAAGAGUGGAAAAGCAGCUGAGAUUUGAUUUUUUUUUUUGUAUUUCAAAGACCCCUAAAGCUAUGAACAAAUCUAGACUUUUGUGAGGUAGAUACAUUAGUAGUCACAACAGCUGGAGGAAAUUCGCAAAUGUUUCCAUUUAUAUUUUGCCAGUUAACUUUCCUAAUGGUAUUUUACACACAAAGCAUUAUGAAAGCUCCAUAAUUGAGACAGACAGACACUUAAAAAAUUUAACAAGGAAAUUAAGUUGUACCUGCCUUAACGCAAUCAUUUGCCAUAGCCUUAGAACACAUGUGCCUGUAACUGCAGUGCCAGAAUAUCACAUGAUUCUUUGAUUUUAUGCCUGGCAUUUGAAUUACGGCGGUUGCAAAAUGCAAAGGACAUAAUUCUCAGCAGGGCAAACAGCUGUAUCAGGGAAUGGUUUUGAUCAGAAAAAUUGGAGAAGGGGAGGGUUAGUCCCAGUACCUUCAUCUAGUUGAGUGUUGGCGUGGAAUUGCAGAUGCUUUUAAGGUUAAAAAACAUUGGGAGAUCCUAUAAAGAAAGGCCUCAUGUCCUUUGGUUCUGCGUUUGAAAUAUCCAGAUGUAUAUUUUGAAAGUGCAUUGUUUAUAUUUCAAACAGGAUAACUUUUAUUACAUUUGCCACAUGUUGAAGCUCAUUGCUUCUAUUAUAGGUGUGGCUGAUUAGAGAUUUACAUGUGAAAGACGGAAGUGGCUACCGUUGCCUUUUAUCAAGUAGACAAGGUAUAGUGGCAAUUAAGAGGGUGCAACUGGGGUUCUUUAACCCUUCCCUCAAAUGGGUAGGAUUAGUUUUUUUUGGAACACAUCUGAUCGUGCAACAUGUUUCCCAGAGAAAACUUUAAGCACUUGUGGCGUUCACCCAGGUCAUAUGCUAUCUGCAUGGACCAAUGAGAGUGCUGGAGAGGCGGAGUCACGAGAUAUAAGAUUCUCUGCGGGAGGAGGGGGAGAUUAGAUUGGAAUUUGAGGGGAGUUGAGAAGGGAGGUUUUGGAAUUGGGAGUUUGGAGUGGAGAGAGAGAGAGAGGGUUGGUGGUUGAGGGUGGAUGAAGUGGGAUGUUUGGUUAAGAGUUAAAGACAUUGAUUGUACCUUCAUCACCUGUAUUAAUAAACAACUUCUAUUUGGUUCUAUUUAAAAUGAU
rnacentral:lncRNA from 1 species